CACUGCUGGACAGUGGUCUGCGUCUCUAGUUCGUGACAAGUGGCACCCCAAUAGGGACCUGAAUGAAGCCGCGAUUGGUGAGCAAUCAGUGAAGCCUGCUGUUAAAGGGUUCAGCUGAACCGAAACAAGGACCCCGCUGUCUGGAACGCCCGGCAGGGAAAAUCCUCGGAGAAGCAGAUAGCACAGAGAGGCCAAAAAGGAAGGAGAGG
rnacentral:lncRNA from 1 species